rnacentral:lncRNA from 1 species
AUGAACACUUUCUUGCUCGAGUCCAAUUGGACUCCACCAUCUCUUGCAUUCUUUUCCCUUUCAAGUCAACCUCCAUAAAAGCCGUGGAAAAAGAAGCUGAAAAUGAGUCCAAAUCCAAGUAGCGGGUAGCAGCAGUAGUCCCAAAUGGCUAGAAAUAACAUUUUUGGACUUAAAAAGUCUAAGAAUGAUAUGCCAGCAGCGGC